rnacentral:rRNA from 1 species
GAUGAACGCUGGCGGCGUGCCUAAUACAUGCAAGUCGAGCGAACAGACGAGGAGCUUGCUCCUCUGACGUUAGCGGCGGACGGGUGAGUAACACGUGGAUAACCUACCUAUAAGACUGGGAUAACUUCGGGAAACCGGAGCUAAUACCGGAUAAUAUAUUGAACCGCAUGGUUCAAUAGUGAAAGCCGGUUUUGCUGUCACUUCUAGAUGGAUCCGCGCCGCAUUAGCUAGUUGGUACGGUAACGGCUUACCAAGGCAACUAUGCGUAGCCGACCUGAGAGGGGGAUCGGCCACACUGGAACUGAGACACGGUCCAGACUCCUACGGGAGGCAGCAGUAGGGAAUGUUCCGCAAUGGGCGAAAGCCUGACGGAGCAACGCCGCGUGAGUGAUGAAGGUCUUCGGAUCGUAAAACGCUGUUAUUAGUGAAGAACAAAUGUGUAAGUAACUAUGCACGUCUUGACGGUACCUAAUCAGAAAGCCACGGCUAACUACGUG